rnacentral:rRNA from 1 species
GACAGAGGCCUCGAGCGUUAGGCGGAAUCACUGGGCUUAAAGCGUGUGUAGGCGGAUCGUUAAGUACCUUGUGAAAUCCCACGGCUCAACCGUGGAACGGCUGGGUAUACUGGCGGUCUUGGGCCAUUCAGGGGCGACUGGAACAAGCGGUGGAGCGGUGAAAUGCGUAGAUAUCGCUUGGAACGCCGAAGGUGAAAACAGGUCGCUGGAGAUGUGCCGACGCUGAGACACGAAAGCCAGGGUAGCGAACCGG